CACGUAGGGUGCGAGCGUUGUCCGGAAUUAUUGGGCGUAAAGAGCUCGUAGGCGGUUUGUCGCGUCUGCUGUGAAAACCUAAGGCUCAACCUUGGGCUUGCAGUGGGUACGGGCAGACUAGAGUGCGGUAGGGGUGACUGGAAUUCCUGGUGUAGCGGUGAAAUGCGCAGAUAUCAGGAGGAACACCGAUGGCGAAGGCAGGUCUCUGCGCCACUACUGACGCUGAGAAGCGAAAGCAUGGGGAGCGAACAGG
rnacentral:rRNA from 1 species